ensembl:lncRNA
GCGGCGUGGAGGUGUAUGAUAUGUUUCGUCUUUGUUGCUUUAAGUCUUAAAGUACUCCUUAGCCACAUUAAUAAAAGUCACAGUCGCAGCCCGGAUUUUGGGGUUUACUGUGGUAUUGAUGGAUGUGAACAGGACUUUAGAGUUUUUAACUCUUUCUUUCGCCACAUUAAACGGACGCACCUUCAGUAUUUGAGGACUGGAUGCCCACCAAGCGGAUGGAGUACGACGCCUUCUUCUCGGUCUUUGGGACAGGAAACAUUUGGUGUUUCGGUGUUUUCCAGCUGUAGCACUCCUGCAGCGGCCAGCACUACGGCUGUCCCACCUGAUGCCUCUUUACCUGAACCGUCACCACAGCCUGAAGCUGACGGCCGCCUUGAGUCCGAAGACGCUGUUGCUGUGACCUCCAGAACCAGACCUGAUAUAGCUAGAUCCGCAGCGGCAUUCGCCAUCAGUGUCCGGGAACAGUGCCAGUUAUCACAGAGAACUGUCAACAGUGUCAUCUCAGGGGUGCAACAGUACCAAGCUGCUCUCAUUGACACACUAAGGGAGAGAAUCAGAAGGGUGUUUGAAGAGAAUCCAGACACAACUGCUCAGCUCCAAGGGGAGGCUUUGGCUACGUUUGAUGCGUUCAUGGAUCCUUUCUCAACCACAGCAUAUGGACAGAAUAAAACCAUCCGGGAACUAUUCAAUCCAGUCAACCCAGAGGAAGUUGUGGUGUCCCAGAAGAUUUGUUGGGUAAAGCGUGGUCUUUCAAGGGUCAUGGCCUUAAGAGGCAAAAGUUUUUACUAUGUACCACUCAUUCAAAGUCUUAAGCAGUUACUGACCAAUCCCAGAAUCUUCACCAUGUACUUAACCACUGUACCACAAAGAAGUGAGGGAUUCUUGUAUGAUUUUACUGAUGGAGCCCUUUUUACAUCCCAUCCAUUAUAUUCUCAAAGGCCAAAUGCAUUGCAAAUACUAUUGUACACCGAUGAAAUUGAAAUAUGUAACCCUUUAGGCGCCCAUGCC